rnacentral:rRNA from 1 species
AAUAGAUACCCCGGUAGUCCUAGCAGUAAACGGUGCACGUUUGGUGUGGGCAGGUUCAGACCCUGUCCGUGCCGGAGCUAACGCGUUAAACGUGCCGCCUGGGAAGUACGGUCGCAAGAUUAAAACUCAAAGAAAUUGACGGGGGCCCGCACAAGCGGUGGAGUAUGUGGCUUAAUUCGAUGCAACGCGAAGAACCUUACCUGGUCUUGACAUGCACUGUGUCAUCGGUGAAAGCCGGUUAGUUGGUAGCAAUAUCAACACUUUGCACAGGUGCUGCAUGGCUGUCGUCAGUUCGUGUCGUGAGAUGUUGGGUUAAGUCCCGCAACGAGCGCAACCCCUGUGUCCAGUUGCCCGCAAGGGAUCUCUGGACAGACUGCCCUGUGAAACGGGGAGGAAGGUGGGGAUGACGUCAAGUCAGUAUGGCCCUUACGGCCAGGGCUGCACACGUACUACAAUGCUCAGUACAGAAUGAACCGAAUCCGCGAGGUAGAGGAAAUCUCAAAAACUGAGCCCAGUUCGGA